rnacentral:rRNA from 1 species
AUACGGGAGUGGCAAGCGUUAUCCGGAAUUAUUGGGCGUAAAGCGUCCGCAGGCGGCCUUUCAAGUCUGCUGUUAAAGCGUGGAGCUUAACUCCAUUAUGGCAGUGGAAACUGAUCGGCUUGAGUAUGGUAGGGGCAGAGGGAAUUCCCGGUGUAGCGGUGAAAUGCGUAGAUAUCGGGAAGAACACCAGUCGCGAAGGCGCUUCACUGGCUCACAACUGACGCUGAGGGACGAAAGCUAGGGGAGCAAACGGGAUUAGAUACCCCGGUAGUCCUAGCCGUAAACGAUGAUCACUAGGUGUCGGGAGGGUUAAACCUUUCGGUGCCGCAGCUAACGCAUUAAGUGAUCCGCCUGGGGAGUACGGCCGCAAGGCUGAAACUCAAAGGAUUGACGGGGCCCGCACAAGCGGUGGAGCAUGUGGCUUAAUUCGAGGCAACGCGAAGAACCUUACCUGGUCUUGACAUGCCCGUCAUAGUUUUCCGAAAGGAAUU